rnacentral:rRNA from 1 species
AUGAACGCUAGCUACAGGCUUAACACAUGCAAGUCGAGGGGCAGCAUGGUCUUAGCUUGCUAAGACUGAUGGCGACCGGCGCACGGGUGAGUAACACGUAUCCAACCUGCCGUCUACUCUUGGACAGCCUUCUGAAAGGAAGAUUAAUACAAGAUGGCAUCAUGAGUCCGCAUGUUCACAUGAUUAAAGGUAUUCCGGUAGACGAUGGGGAUGCGUUCCAUUAGAUAGUAGGCGGGGUAACGGCCCACCUAGUCUUCGAUGGAUAGGGGUUCUGAGAGGAAGGUCCCCCACAUUGGAACUGAGACACGGUCCAAACUCCUACGGGAGGCAGCAGUGAGGAAUAUUGGUCAAUGGGCGAGAGCCUGAACCAGCCAAGUAGCGUGAAGGAUGACUGCCCUAUGGGUUGUAAACUUCUUUUAUAAAGGAAUAAAGUCGGGUAUGGAUACCCGUUUGCAUGUACUUUAUGAAUAAGGAUCGGCUAACUCCGUGCCAGCAGCCGCGGUAAUACGGAGGAUCCGAGCGUUAUCCGGAUUUAUUGGGUUUAAAGGGAGCGUAGAUGGAUGUUUAAGUCAGUUGUGAAAGUUUGCGGCUCAACCGUAAAAUUGCAGUUGAUACUGGAUAUCUUGAGUGCAGUUGAGGCAGGCGGAAUUCGUGGUGUAGCGGUGAAAUGCUUAGAUAUCACGAAGAACUCCGAUUGCGAAGGCAGCCUGCUAAGCUGCAACUGACAUUGAGGCUCGAAAGUGUGGGUAUCAAACAGGAUUAGAUACCCUGGUAGUCCACACGGUAAACGAUGAAUACUCGCUGUUUGCGAUAUACUGCAAGCGGCCAAGCGAAAGCGUUAAGUAUUCCACCUGGGGAGUACGCCGGCAACGGUGAAACUCAAAGGAAUUGACGGGGGCCCGCACAAGCGGAGGAACAUGUGGUUUAAUUCGAUGAUACGCGAGGAGCCUUACCCGGGCUUAAAUUGCAGAUGAAUUACGGUGAAAGCCGUAAGCCGCAAGGCAUCUGUGAAGGUGCUGCAUGGUUGUCGUCAGCUCGUGCCGUGAGGUGUCGGCUUAAGUGCCAUAACGAGCGCAACCCUUGUUGUCAGUUACUAACAGGUUCCGCUGAGGACUCUGACAAGACUGCCAUCGUAAGAUGUGAGGAAGGUGGGGAUGACGUCAAAUCAGCACGGCCCUUACGUCCGGGGCUACACACGUGUUACAAUGGGGGGUACAGAGGGCCGCUACCACGCGAGUGGAUGCCAAUCCCCAAAACCUCUCUCAGUUCGGACUGGAGUCUGCAACCCGACUCCACGAAGCUGGAUUCGCUAGUAAUCGCGCAUCAGCCACGGCGCGGUGAAUACGUUCCCGGGCCUUGUACACACCGCCCGUCAAGCCAUGGGAGCCGGGGGUACCUGAAGUGCGUAACCGCGAGGAGCGCCCUAGGGUAAAACUGGUGACUGGGGCU